ACGAACGUUGGCGGCGUGGAUUAGGCAUGCAAGUCGAACGAGCCUGUCGGGGGCAACCCUGGCAGGAAAGUGGCGAAAGGGGCAGUAAGGCGUGGGUAACCUACCCCGGGGCUCGGAAUAGCCUUCCUAACGGAAGGGUAAUACCGAAUGCCCUGAUCUGGGGGCCUCCCUGGAUCAGGAAAGCUCCGGCACCCCGGGAGGGGCUCACGUGGUAUUAGCUGGUUGGUGAGGUAACGGCUCACCAAGGCCGAGAUGCCUAGCAGGUGUGAGAGCACGACCUGCGCCACUGGCACUGGGACACUGGCCAGACUCCUACGGGAGGCUGCAGUCGAGGAUCUUCGGCAAUGGGCGCAAGCCUGACCGAGCGACGCCGCGUGUGCGAUGAAGGCCUUCGGGUUGUAAAGCACUGUCGUGAGGGGGGAAGUACCGACCCCCC
rnacentral:rRNA from 1 species